GAAGGGGAAGAGGAAGCCGCGGCCUUACGGUCGAGGAAAGUCCGGACUCCUCAGGGCAGGUUGCUGGUCGAUGUUCAUACCGAAGACCAGAGCCGGUGACGGCUGGAAAGUGCCACAGAAAAUAGACCUCCAGCACUUACUUAGCACUAGACAUUCGCUCAAGACCUUGUACCCGAACUUUGAGUGCGAAGUAAGUGCUGGGAAGGGUGCAACGGUGGGGUAAGAGCUCACCGCUUCAGUCGCGAGGCUGAAGGCAGGGCAAACCCCAACCGGAGUAAAGCCAAAUAGGGAGGUACGGAGUUGCCCGCUCCUGCAACCUCCGGGUAGGCUGCUGAGAUAGAUGGCUUCCUAACACAGGAUCCGGCUUAACUUCCCCUUCAUAU
rnacentral:RNase_P_RNA from 1 species